rnacentral:rRNA from 2 species
AAAGAAACCAACAGGGAUUGCCUCAGUAACGGCGAGUGAAGCGGCAAGAGCUCAAAUUUGAAAUCUGGCCCCUCCGGGGUCCGAGUUGUAAUUUGUAGAGGAUGCUUCGGGUGCGGCCCCCGUCUAAGUGCUCUGGAACGGGCCAUCGGAGAGGGUGAGAAUCCCGUCUGGGACGGGGUGUCCGCGUCCAUGUGAAGCUCCUUCGACGAGUCGAGUUGUUUGGGAAUGCAGCUCUAAAUGGGUGGUAAAUUUCAUCUAAAGCUAAAUACUGGCCGGAGACCGAUAGCGCACAAGUAGAGUGAUCGAAAGAUGAAAAGCACUUUGAAAAGAGAGUUAAACAGCACGUGAAAUUGUUGAAAGGGAAGCGCUUGCGACCAGACUCGCUUCCGGGGUUCAGCCGGCUUUCGGGCCGGUGUACUUCCCCGGGGGCGGGCCAGCGUCGGUUUGGGCGGCCGGUCAAAGGCCCCUGGAAUGUAACGCCCCUCGGGGCGCCUUAUAGCCAGGGGUGUCAUGCGGCCAGCCUGGACCGAGGAACGCGCUUCGGCACGGACGCUGGCAUAAUGGUCGUAAACGAC